AAUUAAUUUGGCUCUGGGAGAAACACAGUAACAAGAAUACAGAUAUAUACAAAUAUAUUAAAAAAUGUUAAAUUGUAUCUUGUCUUCAGGGGUCGGGGAGGAUUAUAAUACUCUGCUGUCCAAGGAAAAAAAGGUUUGCUAUUUUAGAUCCUAAAUGACCACGAUUUAGAGAAACUACAUUUAAGCUGAAUGUUUUACAGCUGUAGUCCUAGCAAAGAAAUCCCUAAGAAAUCAUGCCCCUGCCUCACAGAGCUUCGCUUAAUAUGAUGACAAAAUUUUAUGCCCAAAAAAAUGAUUUUAAAAAGACUGAAAUAAAAAUAAAACACAUGACAUGAGCUUUCUAUACUGCAGUAUAGUCAUAAUGAUACGUUUUAAAAACAGCCUCUCAACAUAGCCGUAAAAACAAAGAAAAAAAAGGCAAAUUCUAGCUAUAAAAUGUCCUCUUCCGCCCUUGCAUUCUAGCUGUGUGUGGUGUGGUGGUUAGCUUGUCUCCCUCUCUUCAUUCCUGGCCCUCUUCCAUUGUUAGUCACCUUGUUUAUUGGCUGGAGCAGCCGUGGCGUACUGGACAUCAUCUGAAACUACAAACGACAGGAUGCAAUAAGCUGGAGAAUAGCAGCAAUCUGAGGAAAGUUCUCCAUUCACCAGAGCUCCCUAACUCUCUGUCUUCUUAUCCUGGGCAGAAAAUAAAAAAAUCAAUACGGGCUCACAGGGCUUGAUAAAAGUGCUGGACAGGGAGAGAGGCAACCCUGGAUAUAGUAAAUUAAAGUGAUCAAAAUUUUCCAGUCGAGUCAGCCCGCAGCCUACAUAAACUAACAACCCUGUCUCCACAACUGUCCGUCAUCCCCCUCCACCAUCUUCAUCCUCUGCUUCAGCAUUAUUUCAAUUUUUCAGUUUCUCUGGUUUGCUCUGCUUUUCUUUUCUCUUAAUUUAGUUUUCAGCUGUAGACCUUUUUUUUUUCAGAAAUUCCACAUGUGAAUCAAUGAAACAUAAUUUUUUAUUCUUGUUUUCUAAUAAAUAUGUAAAAAAAAAAAAAAAAAAGCAAAUGGGGAAGAGAGAAAUGAGUUUGAAUUAAACUAGGACCUUUCUGCUUAGGCUUGUGAGCUAUUCUCGAACAAAACACCGACUCAACAAUCAGAAGCAAAAUACUGUUCUCGCAAUUUUCUGUAUAUAUUUUCUAUUGCCAUGAUGUCUUUGCAAAAGUACUAAGCUCAAGCAAAACUCUCCUUAAACAAUUUUUUUUCCCAUCAGCUGAAGGCAUCUGCUAACGUGCGCUAAUGCUAUCCUAGAUUCCCAUACACAAGACUUAAACAAAGCUACUCUGGGAGUCGCUUUUCCUUUUGGGUUUGAGUUGAAAUAUAUUUUUUUCCCAACAUUAAUCCUGCAUGCUGAAAAAGCAAACCCAUAAGCAUAUCCAGUGCCGAAAUGUGAUGCCAGAGGCACCUGAUCAAGACAAAUCCUGCAGACCAGGACUCUAAACUUUCAUUUGUGUAGCAGUGAAUCUGUGUAUUUACAUUCGCACAAAUACAUCCUAAUGAUAUACAGGUUUCCACACAAACAAAAAGUUACGACACAUUUUAUUUUCCACUUUGUAUAAA
ensembl:lncRNA